GGGGGCGACAGGGCUCGACCGGGCGUGUUGAGAUGGAAGCGGCGUGCCGAGGUUGUCAGUGGGCCUCGUAAAUCAACUGACACAAACUUAAAUGGCAACUCUCAGUUGCGCAUGGCUGCCUAAGAAAUAGGCAACCCGUUCCGCGCGCGCCGCCUGCGAUCGCGUGGAAUGAAGACAGCGGGCUGGCUCCGGCGUGACACCCGACCGCGCCGGGGUGAGAAAACAGUCGGGUUGGCCAAGGGCGAAGCCUGUCGAUCGGCGCCGCCGGCGGCGAGAUGAAACCUGCGUUCCGGGAACCUCAUGUCCCCGGGCGCGGUUUCGCAAACGAUACGACUACGCACGUAGAAACUUCCUUCGAGCCGUCACGGGACGGGGGUUCGAUUCCCCCCGCCUCCAA
rnacentral:tmRNA from 1 species